AAUACGAAGGGGGCUAGCGUUGUUCGGAAUUACUGGGCGUAAAGCGCGCGCAGGCGGUUCUUUAAGUCAGGGGUGAAAGCCCAGAGCUCAACUCUGGAAUUGCCUUUGAAACUAGAGAACUUGGGUACGGGAGAGGUGAGUGGAAUUCCGAGUGUAGAGGUGAAAUUCGUAGAUAUUCGGAAGAACACCAGUGGCGAAGGCGGCUCACUGGCCCGUUACCGACGCUCAGGCGCGACAGCGUGGGGAGCAAACAG
rnacentral:rRNA from 1 species